UUGUUUUCAGGCACUAUACAUGGCACCCAAUCUUUCUUUCUUUCUUUCUUUCUUUCUUUCUUUCUUUCUUUCUUUCUUUCUUUCUUUCUUUCUUUCUUUCUUUCUUUCUUUCUUUCUUUCUUUCUUUCUUUCUUUCUUUCUUUCUUUCUUUCUUUCUUUCUUUCUUUCUUUCUUUCUUUCUUUCUUUCUUUCUUUCUUUCUUUCUUUCUUUCUUUCUUUCUUUCUUUCUCUUCCUUCCUUCCUUUCCUCCCUUCCUUCCU
rnacentral:lncRNA from 1 species